GACGAACGCUGGCGGCGUGCUUAACACAUGCAAGUCGAACGGAAAGGCCCUGCUUUUGUGGGGUGCUCGAGUGGCGAGCGGGUGAGUAACACGUGAGUAACCUGCCCUUGACUUUGGGAUAACUUCAGGAAACUGGGGCUAUUACAGGAUAGGAGCUCCUGCUGCAUGGUGGGGGUUGGAAAGUUUCGGCGGUUGGGGAUGGACUCGCGGCUUAUCAGCUUGUUGGUGGGGUAGUGGCUUACAACGGCUUUGAAGGGUAGCCGGCCUGGGAGGGGGACCGGGCACAAGGGGCCUGAGGGACGGCGCAGACGCCUACGGGAGGCAGCAGGCGGGAAUAUGGCACAAUGGGCGGAAGCCUGAUGCAGCAACGCCGCGUGCGGGAUGACGGCCUUCGGGUUGUAAACCGCUUUCGCCUGUGACGAAGCGUUAGUGACGGUAAUGGGUAAAGAAGCACCGGCUAACUACGUG
rnacentral:rRNA from 1 species